GCUGGGCAUGGUGGCGCAAGCCUUUAGUCCCAGCUACUCAGCAGGCUGAGACAGGAAGAUGGCUUGAGUUCAUGAGUUCUGGGCUGUAGUGUGCUAUGCCAAUCAGUGUUCGCACUAAGUUCCACCUCAAAUGGUGACCUCCCGGGAGCAGGGGACCAUCAGGUUGCCUAAGGAGGGGUGAAAAUGCCCAGGUUGGAAACAAAGCAGGUCAAAAUUUCUGUGCCGAUCAGAAGUGGCAUCGUGCCUGUGAAUAGCCACUGCAUUCCAGCCUGGGCAACGUAGUGAGACCCCAUCUCU
rnacentral:SRP_RNA from 1 species